AUUGAACGCUGGCGGCAUGCCUUACACAUGCAAGUCGAACGGUAACGGGCCUUCGGGUGCCGACGAGUGGCGAACGGGUGAGUAAUACAUCGGAACGUGCCCGAUCGUGGGGGACAACGAGGCGAAAGCUUUGCUAAUACCGCAUACGAUCUACGGAUGAAAGCAGGGGACCGCAAGGCCUUGCGCGGACGGAGCGGCAGAUGGCAGAUUAGGUAGUUGGUGGGAUAAAAGCUUACCAAGCCGACGAUCUGUAGCUGGUCUGAGAGGAUGAUCAGCCACACUGGGACUGAGACACGGCCCAGACUCCUACGGGAGGCAGCAGUGGGGAAUUUUGGACAAUGGGCGCAAGCCUGAUCCAGCCAUGCCGCGUGCAGGAUGAAGGCCUUCGGGUUGUAAACUGCUUUUGUACGGAACGAAAAGCCUUCUUUUAAUACAGGAGGGUCAUGACGGUACCGUAAGAAUAAGCACCGGCUAACUACGUG
rnacentral:rRNA from 1 species